rnacentral:rRNA from 1 species
UAGGGAAUUUUGGACAAUGGGCGAAAGCCUGAUCCAGCAAUGCCGCGUGUGUGAAGAAGGCCUUCGGGUUGUAAAGCACUUUUGUCCGGAAAGAAAUCCUUGGCUCUAAUACAGUCGGGGGAUGACGGUACCGGAAGAAUAAGCACCGGCUAACUACGUGCCAGCAGCCGCGGUAAUACGUAGGGUGCAAGCGUUAAUCGGAAUUACUGGGCGUAAAGCGUGCGCAGGCGGUUUGCUAAGACCGAUGUGAAAUCCCCGGGCUCAACCUGGGAACUGCAUUGGUGACUGGCAGGCUAGAGUAUGGCAGAGGGGGGUAGAAUUCCACGUGUAGCAGUGAAAUGCGUAGAGAUGUGGAGAAUACCGAUGGCGAAGGCAGCCCCCUGGGCCAAUACUGACGCUCAUGCACGAAAGCGUGGGGAGCAAAACAGGAUUAGAUACCCUGGUAGUCCACGCCCUAAACGAUGUCAACUAGUUGUUGGGGAUUCAUUUCCUUAGUAACGUAGCUAACGCGUGAAGUUGACCGCCUGGGGAGUACGGUCGCAAGAUUAAAACUCAAAUGAAUUGACGGGGUCAUAGCUG